GGUUAAACCAGAGUAAGAGAGAAACUAGGGGUGAAGAAGAUUGAUAAUAUCUCUGAAUGAUUUAUUAAUACGUAGAAACAAUUAUAAAUACUGUAAUGAGUUACAAGGAGCCCCCUUAACUAAUGACAAAAGACAUAAUAAUACCAAAUGUUUAAUUAUUAAUAAAUACCAUAACAAUACCCCAUUCUUAACCACUUUUUGACCUCAAUAAGUGAAAUCUGGGAACCGAAUCUUCAUUUCAUCCAAAUACUCCCAAGUUGCCUCUUGAACUGUUUGAUCUUUCCAACGAAUUAAUACCUUCAUUGCUGCCUUACUUCCACGCUUUACUAACUUCCUCUCGAGCACUUCAUCAGGCCGUAAGCGAAACCGUGAAUCCACCGGAAUGGGCAGAAUCUUGUCGGGUGGACCCAGAGCUGGUUUUAGGAGUGACACAUGAAACACCGGAUGAAUUUGCGCCUCGUCAGGAAGGUCCAACCGAUAGGCUACCUGACCAAUCUUUUCCACCACCAAGAACGGUCCAAAAUACUUCGGGGUGAGUUUGGAGUGCUUAUGAACACGCAUAGAAUUUUGCAUAUAUGGGCGCAGUUUAAGAUACACCCAAGUGCCCACCUCAAGUUCACGUUCUGAACGUUUUUUAUCCGCUUGUUGUUUCAUUCUGUUUUGAGCUUUGGUCAAGGAUUGUUUUAGUAACCUUAUUGUUGCUUCUUUAUCCAUUAAAAACUCAUCAAGCUCCCCAUUACCUGCAUCUUUUUUAAUAUAAGGAAUAUAGAGUGGGGGCGGAUACCCGUAUAAAGCUUCAAACGGAGUCAUGUUGAUCGAUGAAUGGAAAGUAUUAUUCCACCACUCGGCUAACGGAACCCACUUAGCCCAUGUGUACGGUCGCUCCAUCACCAUGCAACGUAAAUAACCCUCCAAGCACCUGUUAACCACCUCGGUCUGGCCAUCAGAUUGAGGAUGGUAGGCUGUUGAUAGGUUAGCUGCAAUACCCUGUAAUGAUAAGAAUUCCUUCCAAAAAGUACUCAUGAAUAUCGGGUCUCGGUCAGACACAAUAGAACUAGGACACCCGUGGAGCUUGUACACAUUAUCAAUGAACACUUGAGCCACAUCAGCCGCUGAAAAUGGAUGUCGAAGCAAUAUAAAGUGACUAUACUUGGUAAGUCGGUCGACUACCACCAAUAUUGUAUCCUUACCGUUAGACUUGGGAAGCCCUCCGAUAAAGUCCAUAGAGAUGUCGGUAAAAACCGUGUUAGGUAUGGGAAGCGGUUGUAGUAAUCCUGGUGACGCCACAUUCUCGUGCUUGGCUCUCAUGCACACGUCACAACCGCGUAUAAACUGUCGAACCAUCUUUGUGAUUCCCUUCCAAAAGAACAUGCCCUUUACCUGUUGCGUUGUUGCAUGAAUUCCCGAAUGGCCCCCAAUUGGCGAGCUAUGGCACAAGUUCAAAAUAUCUUCACGAAGUUGUCUGUCCCCUCCUACUACCAGUUUGCCCCGUUUUGUCAACCAUUCCCCAUUCCAUUUAAAGUUGGCUACCACCUCACCAUUUUUUAAUUUGGUCACUAUUUCCUGGAGUUGGUCAUCUUUUUGUUGACUAGUGAUGAUUCGUUGCAUGAGAACAGGUUCAAAGGAGUUUAUAGAUGUGGUGAAAAGUGAUACCCCAUGCACCCGAGAUAAUGCGUCAGCCGCUACGUUCUCUUUUCCUUUUUUAUAAUCUAUAGAGUAAUUGUAACCCAUCAGUUUGGCGAGCCACUUGUGUUGGAGAGGCGUCGUCACCUUCUGAGUUAGCAAAUGCUUUAAACUUUGCUGAUCAGUACGAAUGAGGAAUUGCCCGGUUACAAGAUAAUAAUGCCACUGUUUUACUGCCAUCAGAAUCGCUAAUAACUCCUUUUCGUAGACCGAUAAGACUUGUUGUUUAGGAGAUAAUGCUUUGCUAAUAAAGGAUAUUGGGUGUUUGUCUUGCAUCAAUACCGCCCCUAGUCCAUAAGCUGAUGCAUCAGUUUCGAUAACAAACUGCUUAGAGAAGUCUGGUAGGGCGAGCACCGGGGCAGAUGACAGGGCCGAUUUAAGCUGAUUGAACGCGAGCUGAGCUUCUUCAUUCCACCCAAAAGCAUCCUUUUUUAAUAAGUCGGUCAAUGGUUUUGCAAUGAUACCAAAGGAUCGGAUGAACCGUCGGUAGUAGCCGGCCAAUCCUAAAAACCCCCGAAGUUGCUUAAGCGUUUUGGGUGGUGGCCAAUUGGCGAUUGCCUCGACUUUAGAAGGAUCAGUACUAACCCCUUCACUCGAAAUAAUAUGUCCCAAAUACUCGAUUGCCUUUCCUCCAAAAACACAUUUCGAUUGCUUAGCGAAUAACUUAUGCUCUCGCAUUAACCGAAGAACUUGCUUGAGAUGGAAUAAGUGUUCUUUGUUAUCUCUACUAUAAACUAGAAUAUCAUCGAAAAAUACUAGCACCCCUUUUCUCAAAAGUGGCUGAAAGAUGUGAUUCAUAAGUGCUUGAAAGGUCGCCGGAGCAUUCGUGAGGCCAAAAGGCAUUACAAGAAAUUCAUAGUGACCUUCGUGUGUACGAAACGCUGUUUUGUGGACGUCCUCCGAACACAUGCGUACCUGAUGAUAACCCGAGCGCAAGUCGAGUUUAGAGAACACCGCUGCACCCCCGAGCUCAUCCAAUAACUCUUCAAUCAGGGGAAUCAGAAAUUUAUUUUUUACCGUUGCUUCAUUUAACCUCCGGUAAUCCAUACACAUCCUCCACUGGCCAUCCUUCUUUUUAACCAAGACAACCGGUGCAGCAAAGUCACUUUGGCUAUUGCGUAUGAUACCCGCUUCCAAAAGUUCGCGGGUUGUUUUCUCGAUAACAUCCUUUUGUACCGUUGGGUACCGGUACGGACGUUGACUGAUCGGCGUUGUACCUUCCUUCAAAACUAUACGGUGGUCAAACUUGCGCUCUGGCGGUAAACUAAUGGGGGUUUGGAACACAUCACUAAACUCAGUUAAAAGGGACUGCCAUAUGUACUCAUCCUUCCCUGGUACUAUCUUAGAUUCAAAACAAGGUACAUGAGGUUGUGUAAGUUGUAAACUAAACAACUGUGAAGAAUUUGCCUUAGAUUGUUUAUGUAUUAUGGACCCCAUUUUUUCCCCAGAACACACCAAGAACUUGUUAUUCUCAAUCCCCUUAAGCUCACAAGACACCCCAUCUAUCUUGAAUUUCAUGGUCAUCUUUUGAAAAUUCCACAAAAUAUCCUCUAGGGGAAAUAACCACUGAACUCCCAGAAUCAUGUCAUAAUUUUCUAAAUUGAUAAGGAGUACCUCGGUCGUGUACCAUCUUCCUUCCAUCGUCCACUGAAACUCGGGACAAACCUGAGUACAGUGAAGUUGUUUGCCAUCGGCCACACCUACCUUAAUCGGUGGGAUGUCCUUUACUGGACAUUGAAGUCUUUUAGCCAACCUGCUGUCAAUAAAAUUAUGUGUCGAACCCGAAUCUAUGAGGAUAUGGAGUUGUCGUGUCCCCAUUGAUCCCAUAACCCUCAUUGUCGAGUAAGAAGGUAACCCGGUUAACGCGUGUAUUGAAAUCUGAGGAUCUGAUUCUUGUUCUUCAGUAGUCGGCGUGACAUCCUCUCUGUCCUCAUCAUCGUCCACCUCAAUAAUAAAAAGCUGAUUUCUGGUACACUUAUGGCCCGGUACAAACUUUUCGGUGCACCAAAAACACUCACCUUUUGAUCUUUUUCGUUCCAGUUCCUUACUGGUUAGGCGGCGUGGAUUGUUGGUAAUAGGUUUAGUAGGUUUCGAAUAUGGAGCUGGUAGUAGAGGUAAUUUAUUUGCAUUCAUAGGUGGUGUAAUACGCGUUGUCUCUUGGGUUUUUAGCGGUGCCCCUUUACUGGUAAGGAUGGAGUUCAUCAGGUUUUUGUUGUUAAUGUUUUGAAUUCUCGCCAACCCGUAUGCCUCGUGUAGGGUUCGAGGCUUGAACAUCUUCACCGGGCCUUUAAUCUCUUGUUUCAGCCCCUUCAAGUAGAGGCUUACCGCCUGUUCUUCACUAAUCGUAACCUUGUUGAGUAGCCUGUCAAAAUUCGAGUUAUAUUCCUGCAAGUCAUCUUCCUGGUUGAGAGAUGCUAACUCUUCCAUAGCAUCCUCGAACAUUGCAUUAGAGAAACGGGCUGUGAUGGCUCGUACAUAGUCCUCCCAAGGUAACUCGGUUAUGGGCGUCCCCCUGAUUUUCAUGUAGGCUUGGUGCCAUUGAAUCGCGUCCCCCUCGAAGUGGACGACGGCACACUUGACUUUCAAGUUCGCUGGUGUCUCGUCAAUCGAGAAAAAGUGCUCACACCGGUAUACCCAACCCUCGACAUCUUCGCCCUUGAAUUUGGGAAAUUCGAUUUUACCCACUCUCAUCGGCCGAUUGUUGUUGUUUUGGUCAUGGUCGCUAAACGCACCCGAGUAGCGGUCCGAACCAGAGUUCUCGUUCGCCUUCUUCAAGAGUUGUUCCUGUUGGUUCAUCAUAGCCGCAAGAGAAGCCUGAAGUUCAACGAUUGCCUUCUCAUGCUCCUUGAUCGAUUUGUCUAUGUCUUGGUUCCUUGUGUUGGUCAUGGUUGAAAUUGAAUCCGAAAGGGAUCGAUAGAGAGCUCUGAUACCCUUGAUAGGGUUAAACCAGAGUAAGAGAGAAACUAGGGGUGAAGAAGAUUGAUAAUAUCUCUGAAUGAUUUAUUAAUACGUAGAAACAAUUAUAAAUACUGUAAUGAGUUACAAGGAGCCCCCUUAACUAAUGACAAAAGACAUAAUAAUACCAAAUGUUUAAUUAUUAAUAAAUACCAUAACAAAACACGCCUGGAUAUGUGGUUUGCUUCAGUAUGUGAGUUUUUAUGCGGUAACAAUUUCAACGUGUAUGAGGUAGUUAAACACAUCAAUCAUGGUUAAUAAUGGGUCUCACGCAAAGGAUACUGUGAAGUUUUUAUGCGGUAACAAUUUCAGCAAUCACGAUUUGUGUGACAAUUUUUUUCAACCUUGCAUGUGGAUGUUUCGGGUAUACUGUUUUCUACUAUCUGAAUUUUCUGGUCAAAGCAACAACUUUUCACACCGAAAUUCUAUUGAGUUUUAUCAAAAGUUCUAAAAGACUACAUAGUUCAUGAUCAUAUUGAAUUUUCCACCUUUUCGUUUGACCUCAGUAGUCAAACCGUUCAUCAAGAACAAUCUUAUCCUUCAAGUCAAGCCAUGUCUCUUAGAGUUGAAAUCCACGUAGACUUUAUCAGCUUUCUUAACCAUUUGAGUUUCGCUUAAGGUUUUAUGUGGAUUUUACAAAAGAUAUGGAAUCAUGAUCUUCUAGUGGGCCUUAAAAGUCAAAAUAUUUAUAUUUGUAAACAAUAGCUAACACAAACCUUGUCGAUUUAAACAAAGGUUCCCCAGCAAUCAACUUUUAAAAAGAUUCCAUGAACUGAAGUUGCCACUUUUACCGUGGACUUUAUCAAUUUUUAAAAUGAUUUUGAUGUACUGACUUAUAGUCUUAUAGAGAUUAUCAUAUCAGUUUAUGCUAAACAUAGCUGGUAUUAGUCAGGUAAUAAGGGUUCUUAGAAAAUCAAAGCAAUAUUCAGUUGAUGAAAUCACAUGGGUUGUAUUAUGAUCUGAGUCAUCAUUCUCCUUUUGUUCAAAUGUAGCUAAGUUCAUUGAUGGAUAUUGGGAGUGAAGUUCAAGUUGAUGUCGGCUACCUUGCCAUUAUGAUCCACUAUAGCUAGUGUCAAGUCUAUUAAUAACAGAAGAAGAAUUAUCUUUUCUGUAUAUGUUAUGUGAUUUUAUCUCCAUCUUUUUCAUUUCUUUGUCAUCGAAGGAAUUCAAUCCCCCAAGUUCAGUAUGUACCUGUGAUGAUUGGACUGCGUUUCUGAAGCGCCUUUCUGCACUUCUACAUAUCAACAAGAUAUUUGAGCUAGGAAUUUCUGAAAAUCUUCAGGAACAUGCCAACUAUUUAAUGUGAAUAUCGUUGAGAGGGUACUGCUGAAUUAUUUUCUCGACCAUGGUAACCCUGCAAAUUUUAGUCUUUUUUAUAACCGUAUGUUUUUUUAACCAUGUUUAGACCAACGGAUUUAAGUUAGAAUCCCACUUAAAAAUCCUACAAUGGAUUGGGAUGUACUUGCUGACAGAGGUUAGUUUUACUAAAUAUUCAUCUGGAUUACUUAUGGUAUUAAGUUCUGAGAUAUAAAACACCCAAAGGGCAAAAGUCAUAUACAGUCCCACAUUGGCCGAGUGAACUAUACAAAGACGAAGAGACUACCUUUAUAAACAGAGGCCCAAGAAGAGGAAAAGCAUACCUUUCUCGGCCUUUUGGCUAAGAUCAAGUGUAGUAUCUGUUCUUAUCAGUUUAAUAUCUGAUACGUGGGCCAUCGGUCCACUCGAUAUUAAUCUUAUUUUUUAUGGGGAAAGGUCCAUCACAAUAGCUUGCUAUUGGGGCCUUUGAGCGUCGCCUUGGUGUUGCACUACUGCCUUGGCCUGGCGCACCCCUCCAAACCAUAGUUGAAAUUUUGCUUGUUUUACUGGUAAAUAUGCAUUCACAGACUUAGAAGUAUCUUUUUCCUAUUAUGCCUUACAAUUACAAGUGGGUUUAUAACAAGUUUAGAGUUAGGUUGACCACUCUUAUUGUAGAAAGUGAAGACAUCUUCAUGCUUUUUUGGGUAAUGUUUCCAAAGAGAAUUUUGGAUGUGCAUUUUGAACAGAAGCUAGAUGAAUGCAUUUUUGUUAGAAUCCCUAAUCUAGAAAACUUAGGUUCGAUUUCUAGUUUCUAAUGAAGAUAGAGAUGUCAAAACAUUCCACUACCGCAAUGCAAAGACAUGAGAACUAGACAGCCUUUUAGGAGAUAUGUAUCAUAAAAGCCAAGGUAUAAAAAAAUCCGUCACUUUUCGGUAUUGUUGUUAUUGACGUUGUAAGCAGAUGCUUGGAAUGAGUUAUCCUAGGUACCAAGAUUUGAUCAAACAUCUAGCAAUCUUUGACCUUUUGUAUGUUUGUAAGUGAUGGUGUGUUUUCAGGCAAAAAAAACAUGCCUGGAUAUGUGGUUUGCUUUAGUAUGUGAGUUUCUAUGAAAUGGUGGUUGCUUAGGCGGUAACAAUUUCGUCUUGUAUGAGGUAUAUAUGCUAUGCUGCAUUUGGGAAUGAUACACCAGGAAACCUCUGGACUGGUCUUGUCGGCAAUGCUAAUCAUGGACGAAACUUUUAAGGGGCGGGAGGGGGCGGCCGAGCUCUCGAACUUUUCGCUCAGUAGUGGAGAGUAUGUAGUUUUCGUAUAGAAAUUUUGCUUAUAUACGUUUUCGACCCUCUGGUUUUAUAGAAAUUUUUAGGUCUGGUGACUUCUGCCUCUCCAGUUGGAAAUCUCAAGCUUCGCCACUGAUGCUAAUACUUGCAUUAUAAUGCAUUUAAUAGGAGGAUAUCAAGUAAAACUUAGCUACUUCAUAUAAACAAGUCAUCUUUGACUUUUAA